rnacentral:lncRNA from 1 species
UCACCAGUGGUCUCUCUCUGAUCACACGAUGUGAACAUGCUUCUCCGUAGUUAGAAUUUAUGUGCAAGAUUUUAUUUUGGGAACUGUUCUUUAAAAGAAGUUAUCCAUUCAAGAGUGUGCGGAAAAUACAUAUUUUUCAUGGAUACCCUGUUGUCAUCUCUUGCUGUCGGUGCCUGGAUGCUGCCCUGGUUGUGUGCAACUGAGCUGUUGUAUUGUUUUCCCGUCUGUGGCAAUAGCCUGAGGUGCCUCAUCUCAUCGUCACCAGAGCAGCUUUGAAAGAUCUGUGCCUGUUUUGCUGUGCAGUAGAAGUUUCCCUUGUGAAGUGAGCAGCAUUAGGCCUGCAGUCAUGCAGCCGGUGACUGUAGAAGUGUUCUCCCAGUGCUGUCUUCCUAUCAGAAGGUACUGUCUCCUGAAAAUCCCUUUUGCUCCAUGCCACCAAGUAAAGGACUUUGAACCCGAGUGCUGUGUUGCAAAGAACCCGCGUUCCCUAGCAGCUACCCAGAUGCAGUUUCACAGGUGCAUGGAAGAAAACAAACCAAAGCAAGCUUUAUUAUUUCCCAUAUGUUUCACUGCAGAGGAGGGGAGUGAUGGGAAGAGAAGAACCUACACAGAGAAAACAGGGAAAGUGCUUGUCUGUUGCUUUAUUUUUUCUCUGCUUUGA